UUUCUGUAUUGUUUGGGUUUAUCAAGAGCUAUGAGGACACAUUUUGUUAUUUUCUCCAAACUCUUAUUUAGAGUAAUAGUGCUUCAUAGCAGAAAGUAAUCUUAGAGAGAAUCUGAUCCUGCUUCUUGCUUAACAGAUGCUGGACUGUAAAGGUGGACAGGAGGACCCCUGAAAGGAGAAAAUCAUGAUGAAGGAGGAAGGAGACUGGAACUGUGGACCCAGCUCAGCAAUACAACCUGAAGAGAAAGAUUCUUCAUAUAAGUGAUAUACUGCUACUGCUGCUAAGUCACUUCAGUCGUGUCCGACUCUGUGUGACCCCAUAGACGGCAGCCCACCAGGCC
ensembl:lncRNA